GCUCAGUAACACGUAGUCAACCUGCCCUAGGGACGUGGAUAACCACGGGAAACUGUGGCUAAACCGCGAUAGGUCAUCGCAUCUGGAAUGGGCAAUGGCUCAAACCUAUAUGGCCCUAGGAUGGGACUGCGGCCGAUCAGGCUGUUGGCGGGGUAAUGGCCCACCAAACCUGUAACCGGUACGGGCUCUGAGAGGAGGAGCCCGGAGAUGGGCACUGAGACAAGGGCCCAGGUUCUAUGGGACGCAGCAGGCGCGAAACCUUCGCAAUAGGCGAAAGCCUGACGAGGUUAAUCCGAGUGUUUCCUGCUAAAGGAAUCUUUUGUCAGCUCUAAAUAGGCUGAUGAAUAAGGGGUGGGCAAGCCUGGUGUCAGCCGCCGCGGUAAUACCAGCACCCCGAGUGGUCGGGAUGAUUAUUGGGCCUAGAGCAUCCGUAGCCGGUCUUGCAAGUCUUCCGUUAAAUCCACCUGCUCAACAGUUGGGCUGCGGGAGAUACUGCACGACUAGGAGGCGGGAGAGGCGAGGGGUAUUCCUUGGGUAGGGGUAAAAUCCUCUGAUCCAUGGAGGACCACCAGUGGCGAAGGGCGUCUCGCCAGAACGCGCUCGACGGUGAGGGAUGAAAAGCUGGGGGAGCAAACCGGAUUAAGAUACCCGGGUAGUCCCAGCUGUAAACGAUGCAGGCUCGGUGAUGGGUUUGGCUUCGAGCCAGUCCAGUGCCGCAGGGAAGCCGUUAAGCCUGCCGCCUGGGGAGUACGGUCGCAAGACUGAAACUUAAAGGAAUUGGCGGGGGAGCACCACAAGGGGUGAAGCCUGCGGUUCAAUUGGAGUCAACGCCGGGAACCUUACCGGGGGCGACAGCAGUGUGAAGGUCAAGUCGAAGGCUUUACCAGACGAGCUGAGAGGAGGUGCAUGGCCGUCGCCAGCUCGUGCCGUGAGGUGUCCUGUUAAGUCAGGUAACGAGCGAGACCCCUGCUUCUAGUUGCUACUAUUGCUCUCAGGAGUAGUAGGGCGAAUUAGAAGGACUGCCGUUGUUAAAACGGAGGAAGGAGGGGGCUACGGCAGGUCAGUAUGCCCCGAAACCCCUGGGCUACACGCGGGCUGCAAUGAUAGGUACAAUGGGCUCCGACAUCGAAAGAUGGAGGCAAUCCCCAAAACCUAUCCCAGUUAUGACUGAGGGCUGAAACUCGCCCUCACGAAUAUGGAAUCCCUAGUAAUCGCGUGUCA
rnacentral:rRNA from 1 species